AUUGAACGCUGGCGGCAUGCCUUACACAUGCAAGUCGAACGGUAACGGGCCUUCGGGUGCCGACGAGGGGCGGACGGGUGAGUAAUACAUCGGAACGUGCCCGAUCGUGGGGGAUAACGAGGCGAAAGCUUUGCUAAUACCGCAUACGAUCUACGGAUGAAAGCGGGGGACCGCAAGGCCUUGCGCGGACGGAGCGGCCGAUGGCAGAUUAGGUAGUUGGUGGGAUAAAAGCUUACCAAGCCGACGAUCUGUAGCUGGUCUGAGAGGAUGAUCAGCCACACUGGAACUGAGACACGGCCCAGACUCCUACGGGAGGCAGCAGUGGGGAAUUUUGGACAAUGGGCGCAAGCCUGAUCCAGCCAUGCCGCGUGCAGGAUGAAGGCCUUCGGGUUGUAAACUGCUUUUGUACGGAACGAAAAGCCUUCUUUUAAUACAGGAGGGUCAUGACGGUACCGUAAGAAUAAGCACCGGCUAACUACGUG
rnacentral:rRNA from 1 species